rnacentral:misc_RNA from 1 species
UACAUAGGGUGCUAGCGUUGCUCGGAAUUACUGGGCGUAAAGAACAUGUAGGAGGACCUAAAAGUCAGAAGUGUAAUUCCUAGGCUCAACCUAGGCGCUGCUUUUGAUACUCUAGGUCUGGAGUGAGGUAGAGGAUAGCGGAAUUCUUAGUGUAGGGGUAAAAUCCGUAGAUAUUAAGAAGAACACCGAAAGCGAAGGCAGCUAUCUGGGCCUUUACUGACUCUGAGAUGUGAAAGCGUGGGGAGCAAACAGG